ACAGGUGGUGCAUGGUUGUCGUCAGCUCGUGUCGUGAGAUGUUGGGUUAAGUCCCGCAACGAGCGCAACCCCUGUUGUUAGUUGCCAUCAUUAAGUUGGGCACUCUAACGAGACUGCCGGUGACAAAUCGGAGGAAGGUGGGGAGGACGUCAAAUCAUCAUGCCCCUUAUGUCCUGGGCUACACACGUACUACAAUGGCUGCUACAGAGGGACGCGAAGGAGCAAUCCGGAGCAAAUCCCCAAAAGCAGUCCCAGUUCGGAUUGUGGGCUGCAACUCGCCCACAUGAAGUCGGAAUUGCUAGUAAUGGCAGGUCAGCAUACUGCCCUGAAUACGUUCCCGGG
rnacentral:rRNA from 1 species